GAUGAACGCUAGCGGCAGGCUUAAUACAUGCAAGUCGAGGGGCAGCAUGAGUGUAGCAAUGCAUUUGAUGGCGACCGGCAAACGGGUGCGGAACACGUACACAACCUUCCUAUAAGUGGGGAAUAGCCCAGAGAAAUUUGGAUUAAUACCCCGUAACAUAAUAAUGUGGCAUCACAUUAUUAUUAUAGCUUCGGCGCUUAUUGAUGGGUGUGCGGCUGAUUAGAUAGUUGGCGGGGUAACGGCCCACCAAGUCUACGAUCAGUAGCUGAUGUGAGAGCAUGAUCAGCCACACGGGCACUGAGACACGGGCCCGACUCCUACGGGAGGCAGCAGUAAGGAAUAUUGGUCAAUGGACGCAAGUCUGAACCAGCCAUGCCGCGUGAAGGAUUAAGGUCCUCUGGAUUGUAAACUUCUUUUAUCUGGGACGAAAAAAGGCGAUUCUUCGUCACUUGACGGUACCAGAUGAAUAAGCACCGGCUAACUCCGUGCCAGCAGCCGCAGUAACAC
rnacentral:rRNA from 1 species